GUGUUUAAAUCCAAGNUAAUUUGCCACAGUUUCGUUUUCUGGUUUCCAGAAUUCAAGAUUCAAAUUCAUGAUUUCAAGAUUAAAGAUGCCAAAAACGAAAUCAAACUAAAAAAUUAUAAUCAAAAUAUAUACGCAGAACAUUCAAGACUCGAAAGGAGUUUUGUUCAAGGGUAGAAGACAAUUGGGGAUUUCGAGAAGUGCUGGCUGAGCUGCGCGGAAUUAGGCACAUGUCUCUAACUCGAAUACUAA
rnacentral:lncRNA from 1 species